GGUGAGAUGGGUGAGUUGGUUUAAACCAGGAGUUUGCUAAACUUCCGUAGUAUUUAACUAUGCUACCGAGGGUUCGAAUCCCUCUCUCACCGCCA
rnacentral:tRNA from 1 species